GGGGCUGUCUUAUAGCUUGGUAAUUAUCCGAGGUUUGGGACUUCGAAACCGCGGUUCGAAUCCGCGCAGCCCCA
rnacentral:tRNA from 1 species